rnacentral:rRNA from 1 species
AGAGUUUGAUCAUGGCUCAGAACGAACGCUGGCGGCAGGCUUAACACAUGCAAGUCGAACGGCUGUAGCAAUACAGCAGUGGCAGACGGGUGAGUAACACGUGGGAACCUUCCUAGGGGUACGGAACAACUCAGGGAAACUUGAGCUAAUACCGUAUACGUCCGUGAGGAGAAAGAUUUAUCGCCCUUAGACGGGCCCGCGUCGGAUUAGGUAGUUGGUGAGGUAACGGCCUACCAAGCCUACGAUCCGUAGCUGAUCUGAGAGGAUGAUCAGCCACACUGGGACUGAGACACGGCCCAGACUCCUACGGGAGGCAGCAGUGGGGAAUCUUGGACAAUGGGCGCAAGCCUGAUCCAGCCAUGCCGCGUGAGUGAAGAAGGCCUUAGGGUUGUAAAGCUCUUUUACCAGGGACGAUAAUGACGGUACCUGAGAAUAGCCCCGCAUCCGUCG